GCUUAAUAGGCUGUGAACGAUGCUGAAUGGGUGUAGACAAAGAGAAGCUUUUCAAUAGGGAUGGAACGUAAAGUCGCAGAAAAUAGAGGUUGUGAUGGCAGUUGCCGAGAAGUAUUUGGGUGUACAAGAUUUGAGGUCAGAAGAGUUACAGGCUGUGUUGAGUGGUGGUGUCCCGUCCUUCCAGGCUGUUGGACUGAGAAUCCCAUAAAGUAUCAGACUCCAGGAUGGGAAAAUGCUUAACAAGAAAGAAACAGAUGAAGACAGAUAAGGGGACCAUGAGACCCUAUGUUGUGUUUUAAAUAGUUAAUCUGUUGUGAAUUUCUAUUCUGACUUGUAAUGUUAAAAAAAGGGGAGUUAAUCUGAACUAGCUAGACUACUCACUAGACCAAAUGAUAGGCUACAGAUUUGAGUCGCUACAAUUCAAAUUCCCAAUGUACGUUUCUAUUAAAUGACAUUUUGUUCUUACUACGUGUAUUGCAUGUUUGAUGAGAUUAUAUGUGCUUAUAAAUGUUUGCAACACAUUAAUAAAUGGCUAGAAGUUUUCCACUUUCUUUUAAGGUAUAUUUUAAGUUAUUUUAAGUUAUAAAUAUUGGUAGGACUAACUCAUUAAUAAAUGGUCAGUAGGUUUCCACUAUCUUUAAAGGUAUAUCUUCCAGCAUUUAUAUAUGUUUGUAAGUCAUUUGUUAAUGGUCAGUGGAUUGCCACUUUAAGGUAUCAUUUUAGCAUUUAUAGAUGUUGAUAACUCAGUUAUAAAUGUUAAUAGGUCUGUCACUAAAAUAAGGUAUACCUUUAGCAGUUACACAUGUGGGUAAAUCAUUUAUAUAUGAUUUGAGAGUUCACUCAGAGCAUAGACAUAGUUAUAGUAUUGAGUACCCAUC
ensembl:lncRNA